rnacentral:rRNA from 1 species
UUUAUACAACGAAGAGUUUGAUCCUGGCUCAGGAUGAACGCUAGCGGCAGGCUUAACACAUGCAAGUCGAGGGGUAACGAUGUUUUCGGACAGGCGACGACCGGCGCACGGGUGAGUAACGCGUAUGCAAUCUACCUUUAACUGGAGGAUAGCCCCGAGAAAUCGGGAUUAAUACUCCAUAGUAAUCUAAAGUGGCAUCACUUAAGGUUUAAAGCUCCGGCGGUUGAAGAUGGGCAUGCGUGACAUUAGUUUGUUGGUGAGGUAACGGCUCACCAAGACUACGAUGUCUAGGGGUUCUGAGAGGAUGAUCCCCCACACUGGUACUGAGACACGGACCAGACUCCUACGGGAGGCAGCAGUGAGGAAUAUUGGUCAAUGGACGCAAGUCUGAACCAGCCAUGCCGCGUGCAGGAUGACGGCCCUAUGGGUUGUAAACUGCUUUUAUUAAGGAAUAAACUCUGAUACGUGUAUCAGACUGAACGUACUUAAAGAAUAAGCAUCGGCUAACUCCGUGCCAGCAGCCGCGGUAAUACGGAGGAUGCAAGCGUUAUCCGGAUUCAUUGGGUUUAAAGGGUUCGCAGGCGGCGUAUUAAGUCAGUGGUGAAAUCUCUCGGCUCAACCGAGAAACUGCCAUUGAUACUGGUAUGCUAGAGUAUAGUUGGCGUAGGCGGAAUGUAUCAUGUAGCGGUGAAAUGCUUAGAUAUGAUACAGAACACCGAUCGCGAAGGCAGCUUACGAAACUAUAACUGACGCUCAGGAACGAAAGCGUGGGUAGCGAACAGGAUUAGAUACCCUGGUAGUCCACGCUGUAAACGAUGAUUACUCGUUGUCGGCGAUACACAGUCGGUGGCUAAGCGAAAGUGAUAAGUAAUCCACCUGGGGAGUACGAUCGCAAGGUUGAAACUCAAAGGAAUUGACGGGGGCCCGCACAAGCGGAGGAGCAUGUGGUUUAAUUCGAUGAUACGCGAGGAACCUUACCUGGGCUUAAAUGUAGAUUGCAUGAAGGGGAAACCUUUCUUUUCUUCGGAACUAUUUACAAGGUGCUGCAUGGUUGUCGUCAGCUCGUGCCGUGAGGUGUCGGGUUAAGUCCCAUAACGAGCGCAACCCCUACCUUUAGUUGCCAUCAGGUAAUGCUGGGGACUCUAAAGGAACUGCCUACGCAAGUAGUGAGGAAGGUGGGGAUGACGUCAAAUCAGCACGGCCCUUACGUCCAGGGCUACACACGUGCUACAAUGGUCGGUACAGAGAGCAGCUAACCCGUGAGGGUGUGCAAAUCUUCAAAGCCGAUCUCAGUUCGGAUCGAAGUCUGAAACUCGACUUCGUGAAGUUGGAUUCGCUAGUAAUCGCAUAUCAGCCAUGAUGCGGUGAAUACGUUCCCGGGCCUUGUACACACCGCCCGUCAAACAAUGGAAGCUUGGGGUACCUGAAGUUCGUCACCGUAAGGAUCGACCUAGGGUAAAACAAGUAACUGGUGUUAAGUCGUAACAAGGUAGCCGUACCGGAAGGUGUGGCUGGAAUACCUCCUUUCUG